GGUUAUGUUAAAAUCUACACUCUGAUUGUGAAUUUAUCCAUUUCUUGUAACUUUUUUACUGUUCUGCUUUUUAUAGUUUCUGUUAGGUUGGAUGCCCAGCAGCAGCCCCUGGAGGGGAAGGAGGUUGAACAGACGUGGGGAUGUGCUGGAUGGAAGUCAAGAGCCUCUGCAGAAUUCUUCUGUUUCCUGCUGCUACAAACCCUGAGAAUCCCCAACAUCUGACAUUGUGUGGCAACUGCACAUUUGAUACAUUGAAGGUCACCGUUUGUGGAAAGCAUUGGUGCAGAUAAAGGCUACAAAGCCCAGCAAAAAUUUCCCUUGCAGUUGGCUACUGUCAAAGACCAUGCUGGCAUUGAAUUCACAGGACAUGUUCUUCUUGGAUUGUCCUGAGGCCUGAAGAGUUCACAUGGUUAUCUUCUUCCAAAUACCUCCUAAAUUGUCAUCUAGGCCAAAGUUUGUAUAUGAUUAGACUGCAGAGCCUUUGGAUCUAAGUGUUUACUGUAUUCAUUCAUCCAGA